UUGAAGAUCAGCCUUAGUCCAUGGUGG
rnacentral:piRNA from 1 species